rnacentral:rRNA from 1 species
AACGAACGCUGGCGGCAGGCUUAACACAUGCAAGUCGAGCGCCCCGCAAGGGGAGCGGCAGACGGGUGAGUGACGCGUGGGAAUCUACCGUGCCCUACGGAAUAACGCAUGGAAACGUGUGCUAAUACCGUAUACGCCCUACGGGGGAAAGAUUUAUCGGGGUAUGAUGAGCCCGCGUUGGAUUAGCUAGUUGGUGGGGUAAAGGCCUACCAAGGCGACGAUCCAUAGCUGGUCUGAGAGGAUGAUCAGCCACAUUGGGACUGAGACACGGCCCAAACUCCUACGGGAGGCAGCAGUGGGGAAUAUUGGACAAUGGGCGCAAGCCUGAUCCAGCCAUACCGCGUGAGUGAUGAAGGUCUUAGGAUUGUAAAGCUCUUUCACCGGUGAAGAUAAUGACGGUAACCGGAGAAGAAGCCCCGGCUAACUUCGUGCCAGCCGCCGCAGUAACAC